rnacentral:misc_RNA from 1 species
GAUGAAGAACGUAGCGAAAUGCGAUACUUGGUGUGAAUUGCAGAAUCCCGUGAACCAUCGAGUCUUUGAACGCAAGUUGCGCCCGAAGCCAUUAGGCCGAGGGCACGCCUGCCUGGGCGUCACACGUCGUUGCCCCCCCAUCUACUCCUUCGGGAUUGCGGGGGGCGGAUGAUGGCCUCCCGUGCGCCUCGUCGCGCGGUUGGCCUAAAUGCCAAGUCCUCGGCGACGCACGCCACGACAAUCGGUGGUUGCGAAACCUCGGUUGCCCGUCGUGUGCGGUCGUUGCGCAUCGAGGGCUCGAAAAAAUUGCCGGGCUUCGGCUCGACUUUCAACGCGACCCCAGGUCAGGCGGGGUUACCCGCUGAAUUUAAGCAUAUCAAUAAGCGGA